rnacentral:snRNA from 1 species
GUGCUCACUUCGGCAGCACAUACACUAAAAUUGGAACAGUACAGAGAAGGCCGGCACAGCCCCUCCACCGGGAGGGCGUGCGAAUUGGGGCUUUCCAUAUUAUUUUU